rnacentral:tRNA from 1 species
AGGAUAUAGCUCAGUAGUAUAGCACUUGCCUAGUACGUGUGAAAACCUGGGUUCAAUCCCCAGUACUACUA